rnacentral:lncRNA from 1 species
AUGACCCCUUUUUUCACAUGUUGGGCAGUUGUAUGUACAGGAAGGGGACUUCAAACCUACGGAACCCUUUCCCACAUGAGGAACAAGAUGUAGGGCAAGAGAAGCCUUUGCCACAAGCUUGGAGAUGUGUUUGUACGGGGUGGACAUAUCACACACAGAGAUAGAAACACGAGUGAGAAACCGCACACACGCAUGGGCUGCACCAUGGGAGGGCCUUGCCCGCAUGAGUAAAGCAUGCGGUUAGCAAGCUGAACCUGAUAAGGGU